rnacentral:rRNA from 1 species
UACGAAGGGGGCUAGCGUUGCUCGGAAUUACUGGGCGUAAAGGGCGCGUAGGCGGGUCGUUAAGUUAGAGGUGAAAGCCCAGGGCUCAACCCUGGAAUUGCCUUUAAUACUGUCGACCUCGAGUAUGGCAGAGGUGUGUGGAACUCCGAGUGUAGAGGUGAAAUUCGUAGAUAUUCGGAAGAACACCAGUGGCGAAGGCGACACACUGGGCCAUUACUGACGCUGAGGCGCGAAAGCCAGGGGAGCAAACGGG